AGACUCCUACGGGAGGCAGCACUGGGGAAUAUUGCACAAUGGGGGAAACCCUGAUGCAGCAACGCCGCGUGGAGGAAGAAACCCUUAGGGGCGUAAACUCCGUUUUAUCAAGGAAGAAGAUGACGGUACUUGAUGAAUAAGCACCGGCUAACUCCGUGCCAGCAGCCGCGGUAAUACGGAGGGUGCAAGCGUUACUCGGAAUCACUGGGCGUAAAGCGCAUGUAGGCGGUUAAUUAAGUUAGAAGUGAAAGCCCACAGCUUAACUGUGGAACAGCUUCUAAAACUGAUUAACUAGAGUCUGGGAGAGGAAGAUGGAAUUAGUAGUGUAGGGGUAAAUCCGUAGAGAUUACUAGGAAUACCGAAAGCGAAGGCGAUCUUCUGGAACAGUACUGACGCUGAGAUGCGAAAGCGGUGGGGAGCAAACAGGAUUAGAUACCCUGGUAGUCCACGCCCUAAACGAUGAAAUGUUAGUCGUUGGAGUGCUAGCCCACUUCAGUGAUGCAGCUAACGCAUUAAACAUUCCGCCUGGGGAGUACGGCCGCAAGGGUUAAAACUCAAAGGAAUAGACGGGGACCCGCACAAGUGGUGGAGCAUGUGGUUUAAUUCGAAGAUACGGCGAAGGAACCUUACCUGGCUUGACAUAUACCAGAACCUGCCAGAGAUGGUGGGGUGCCUUCGGGAGCUGGUAUACAGGUGCUGCACGGGUGUCGUCAGCUCCUGUCGUGAGAUGUUGGGUUAAGUCCCGGAAAGAGGGAACCUCGUGGACUUAGUUUACUAACAAGGCAUAGGCUGGAGGACUCCUUAGUCAGAACUGGCUUUCCGGAAGGAGGAGGAAAGUGGGGACCAACCGUCCAAGUUCUCAUGGGGCUCUUAAGGGCAGGGGGGACACCGUUGGUUCAAAGGGGGGGGCCACUGGAAGCGAAAUCCUGGGAGGGGACUUUUUUAACUUUUUUCCAAAGGGUGGGGAGUCGGAAUCCGAUGGUGGGAGGGGCGAACCAAAUAAGGGGGAAACCUGCGGGGGAAAACCGGUGUGUUAUACAGCCGGGCCACAGGGGGGUUCCCCCCGGGGGGAUAUAACCCCGGGGUUAAGGGGGGAACACCAGGACGGGGCCUCCCACAAAGAUUCCUCUGGUGGGGGUGCACCA
rnacentral:rRNA from 1 species